CAUAACUGUACCGCACUUUCCACCAUCCGCUUUCGUGAGCCGUCAUUUUUUCCCCCCAAGACUUGCUGGACCCCCUCUGCCCCGCCAGGCCGCAGACAUGCAAGCCAUCAAAUGUGUGGUGGUGGGAGAUGGAGCUGUGGGUAAAACCUGCCUCCUAAUCAGCUAUACCACCAAUGCCUUCCCAGGAGAAUACAUCCCCACUGUAUUUGAUAAUUACUCCGCCAAUGUGAUGGUUGACAGCAAACCUGUAAAUCUUGGGUUAUGGGAUACAGCUGGCCAGGAGGAUUAUGACCGCUUGAGGCCACUCUCCUAUCCUCAGACGGACGUCUUCCUCAUCUGCUUCUCUCUUGUCAGCCCUGCAUCUUACGAAAAUGUUCGUGCCAAGUGGUUUCCGGAAGUACGACAUCACUGUCCUAGCACCCCCAUGAUCCUUGUGGGCACUAAACUAGAUCUCCGAGAUGACAAGGACACCAUAGAGAAGCUCAAGGAGAAGAAGUUGGCGCCCAUUACUUACCCACAAGGCCUUGCGCUGGCCAAAGAGAUUGAUGCAGUGAAAUACCUUGAAUGCUCAGCACUGACACAGCGCGGCCUGAAAACGGUCUUUGACGAGGCAAUACGGGCAGUUCUUUGUCCACAACCCACAAAGACAAAGAAAAGGGGAUGCAGGAUCCUCUAAGGACAAGAGCAAAGAUCCCAAGUGGUUAAAGGAAAAACAUAAGGCAAUUAAAGACAGAUUUCAAACUCUUCCCUCUUGCCUCCUGGAUGGAACUUUCUCUGGGCUUUGCUGGUGAGACACGCUGAAGGUUUUGUUGCUGUUCUCCUGUACCUUUGAAAGCCGAACUAGACAAGAUGCUGGAAGAUUGAGAGUCGAAGCUUCCUGCAUCAGAGGCAACGAAGUCUAUAUCUGGCAAAGGGAGCUUUGACUCUCAAAAUCUUGUACCCCGAACAGGUUGUCUAUAUGUUUCCCUCAACAGAUCAAACAGUGGAUCUGAGGGGCAGUUUGAGGUCAGGAAAGUGGCUGGUGGAACAUGUGGACCCUGUCUGAAUUGGGGACCUCCCCCUCCCCCAAAUGCUAUUUACCAAUUUUAAAAAAAUCCCUUUUGGAGACCCAUUCAUUGAUUUCCUGCUGUCUCAUCUAGUUGACCUCUCAGCACGUUGUUCUUUGAAAUCUCUCUGUCCUGGAUCAUAAUUAAUAUAUAGCACAUAAGGUUCAAUAAAUGCACUCUGU